rnacentral:lncRNA from 1 species
UUAGCCAGAGGAAAACUGGGCCUGAAAAUACUAAAUGGGAAAUGACCCAGAACCCCCUGACUUGGAUGAUUCUUAGUGACCUAACACUACAGGACAGUGCUUUUGUCAUUCCUCAUACUUCACGUCAUCACGUGGGAAUUGGGUCAUCUCAUGUCAUCCCAAGAAUAUGGAUCAAAUCCUCAUCCUAUCUGCCUUGGCCUAUGGUCACAGUCUAUGGUCUUUCUCUACGCAGAAACUAAGCAAGCAAACAAGAGCAAUAACCUGUAAGAAAUGAAUACUGACUCUAGAAGAAACAAAAAGUUGCACAAGAAAGGAGACAUGAUAGUAUGACUUGGAUGUAAUCAUAAGCGUAAAAGUUGGCUCAAAUGUGAAAAAUCUUUUCUAUUUUUUUAUUUUAUUUUAUUUUAUUUUUUUGGUACCGGGGAUCGAACUCAGGUUCUUGCGCUUGCGCAGCAGGCGGCGAAACCACUGAGCUAAAUCCCCGGCCCUGUGAAAAAUCUUUUUUAACAAGCACUGUUCAGGAAAAGCAAGUUAGCAUAAUGGGCCUGGCUCCUCUGCUUUAAGCGUCUCGUCUUGCUUACACUGCUGCUUGGAUUUCAUGGUAAGUGAUGAGUAACUUGCUGUGCCUCAACUGUUUGCACCAACAGUAUGGUUUAUGCUGACUAGCUGGUUGUCUUUUGGAAGCUUAGAACUUUGUAUAUGCUCAGCAGCGGGUAUCUAUGCGACAAGCCCUCAAUAAAAUCAUGUAAACCUUGGGCACUGAGUCCCUAAUGAGCUUCCCAGGUAGACAGUAUUUUUCGUCUGUUGUCACAGCUUCCUGGAGGAACAGUAUACAUCCCAUACGACCACCACCCCCAGGAGAGGUCCCUGAGAGCUGAUGCCUGUUCUACUCCGGACUUUACCCCAUGUGCUUCUUACUCUUGCCGAUCUUGCUCUGUAUCCUUGUGCUAUAAGAAAUAUUACCCAUAAUGCUACCGUUUGAUUGUACCCACCUGCAAGUUUAUAGUUUGGAAACAUAAUCCCCGAAUAGCAUUGUUGAGAGGUGGGACAUUUAAG